rnacentral:rRNA from 1 species
GACGAGCGCUGGCGGCGUGCUUAACACAUGCAAGUCGAACGCUGAAGCUUGGUGCUUGCACUGGGUGGAUGAGUGGCGAACGGGUGAGUAAUACGUGAGUAACCUGCCUUUGACUCUGGGAUAAGCCUGGGAAACUGGGUCUAAUACUGGAUAUGACAUGCCACUGCAUGGUGGUGUGUGGAAAGGGUUUUACUGGUUUUGGAUGGGCUCACGGCCUAUCAGCUUGUUGGUGGGGUAAUGGCCUACCAAGGCGACGACGGGUAGCCGGCCUGAGAGGGUGGCCGGCCACCCGGGGACUGAGACACGGCCCAGACUCCUACGGGAGGCAGCAGUGGGGAAUAUUGCACAGUGGGCGGAAGCCUGAUGCAGCGACGCCGCGUGAGGGAUGACGGCCUUCGGGUUGUAAACCUCUUUCAGCACGGAAGAAGCGAGAGUGACGGUACGUGCAGAAGAAGCGCCGGCUAACUACGUG